GUGCUCGCUUCAGCAGCACAAAUACUAAAAUUGGAACGACACAGAGAAGAUUAGCAUGGCCCCUGCGCAAGGAUGACACGCAAAUUUGAAAUUUUUUAAAAAAAUUA